rnacentral:rRNA from 1 species
UACAGACGUCUCAAGCGUUGUUCGGAUUCAUUGGGCGUAAAGGGUGCGUAGGCGGCGCGGUAAGUCGGGUGUGAAAUCUUGGAGCUUAACUCCGAAACUGCAUUCGAUACUGCCGUGCUUGAGGACUGGAGAGGAGACUGGAAUUUACGGUGUAGCGGUGAAAUGCGUAGAUAUCGGAAGGAACGCCGGUGGCGAAAGCGGCGUGCUGGACCUCUUCUGACGCUGAGGCGCGAAAGCCAGGGGAGCGAACGGG